rnacentral:lncRNA from 1 species
CAAAUUUUUUGUUCUAUCAUUUGAUGCUUUCAAAUCAGAAUUUUGGUAAAAUUACAAUUUUGCCCCUGAAAAGCAAUAAGUCUUUUUCAAGUGAAAAUCAUUAGUACUCCUUCAACUGCUUUGUAAUCAUCAAAAUCAAUCUAAGGAGCAACAAUAAUCUAUCAAAAUAAAUGACCAAAAGAUACCAUCUUUAUCAAAAUUUCAAUAGCAUAAAAACCUCGAUCACUUUAAUAAAGAGAGGCCUACCAGCCAUUCGUUCAAGGUUCUUUAGGUUGAGCUUGGAGGGUGAGUUGUCAAGAGAGAUCCAUGGCCACCUAGCGGAAGACUUAGCCCUUAAAUUUGAUGAGG